rnacentral:rRNA from 1 species
CUACGGGAGGCAGCAGUAAGGAAUAUUGGGCAAUGGUCGGAAGACUGACCCAGCCAUGCCGCGUGCAGGAAGAAGGCCCUAUGGGUUGUAAACUGCUUUAGCCAGGGGCUAAACCUACCGAUGCGUUGGUAGCUGAAGGUACCUGGAGAAUAAGCAUCGGCUAACUCCGUGCCAGCAGCCGCGGUAAUACGGAGGAUGCGAGCGUUAUCCGGAUUUACUGGGUUUAAAGGGUGCGCAGGCGGUUGUUUAAGUCAGGGGUGAAAGCCCUAUGCUCAACAUAGGGAUUGCCUUUGAUACUGAACGGCUAGAGUGAAGAUGGAGUGGGUGGAAUGUGUUGUGUAGCGGUGAAAUGCAUAGAUAUAACACAGAACACCGAUCGCGAAGGCAGCUCACUAAUUUUCAACUGACGCUCAUGCACGAAAGCGUGGGGAUCAAACAGGAUUAGAAACCCGGGUAGUCC